AUGCUGGGGACCCUCUGCACUCUCAUCACUGCUCUAACAUGUACAUGUGGUGUGACGGUGGUGACACAGAAGCCUCCUGUUGUGACGGUGAGGAAAGGAGAGACAGUCACCAUGGACUGUAACCUGGGAACUGUUACUGAUGAAUCAGCUCGCUGGUAUAAACAGAUACCAGGAGGAGUUCCUCAGUAUGUGCUGAAGUUCCAUCAUGACUUUAGCUCGGUAUAUCAUGGCUCUGGUUUCUCUUCUCCCAAAUUCACAUCUAAUCAUCAGUCAAUGACAGAUUAUCGACUGAUCAUCAACGGUGUUAAAGGGGGAGACUCAGCAGUCUAUUACUGUGAAACAUGGGACAACUCUGCUGAGGAAAAAAUAGUCUCCAUGGACUGUAAUCUGGGAACUGUUACUAACAGUGGUGUUCACUGGUAUAAACAGAUUCCAGGAGGAGUUCCUCAGUUUGUAUUGUAUUUUAUUCACACUGCAAGCUCUCCAACAUAUGGCUCUGGUUUCUCUUCUCCCAAAUUCACAUCUAAUCACCAGUCAACAUCAGAUUAUCGACUGAUCAUCAACAAUGUGGAGGAGGGAGACUCAGCAGUCUAUUACUGUGAAACAUGGGACGAAUCUGUGAAUGAGAAGGCAUCACAAUGA